rnacentral:rRNA from 2 species
CAUGACUGGGGUGAAGUCGUAACAAGGUAACCGUAGGGGAACCUGCGGUUGGAUCACCUCCUUACCUUAAAGAA